GGGUCCGGACACACUGAGGAUUGACAGAUAUACGCUCAUUGCAUGUGCUUCGGCGCUGCUUUGAGCUGAAAGAUGCUAGUUCUUUCAUGAUUAUGUGAUAGGUGGUGCAUGGCCGUUCUUAGUUCGUGGAGUGAUCUGUCUGCUUAAUUGCGUAUCAAUAAUAGAGACCUAGUAUACGCGCGGAUUUCGUGUGGUAGUGACCCCCUGUUCGCAGGCGUGUGUCGCACACGCGUGCCGCGCACUGGUCUCAGAUAGCAACGAACGUGACCGUAUUCUAUUGUUGCAGUGAAUAUGUGUGCCUUCGGGCAUACGACCCACUGCUUAGUGUAUGUACGUGCUUCGGUCCGCACAAUACACAUUAAACUAUAGAGACCGCUGUUUCUUCUUUAAACCAGAGGAGGGAUACGGCAAUAACAGGUCUGUGAUGCCCUCAGAUGUUCCGGGCUGCACACGUGCUACAAUGAUCAUUGCACUGUGCAUCUAACCCAAUGUGCGUGGACGCCGCAUGUAUGUACUCCUUGUGGGUACACGCAUUGCUGAGCGACCACGCCGAACCUACUUCGAAAGUAAAAUUUCUCUGUGGGU
rnacentral:rRNA from 1 species